rnacentral:lncRNA from 1 species
CGCAUGCUGUUGGCCUUUCUAGAGGGACAGACAGAUAUGGCCUGUUUUCCUGGCAGGAAAUGACAGAAAUAGUUGUCAGCAAUUGUGAGAUUCCCCAGUGCAUCCUCAUCGCUGUGACAGUACCCCCACAGUGUGGCAUAUCACGGGAGGGGAAGAAAACAAUGAGGCAGAGGACAGGAAGUUAAAUACAUUUGUCACGGAGUAACAGAAUCAGAAAGCCCCCAAGUUCAGGGCUCCAAGGUGAUGGUGUCAGCUGUUUCUUAAUUUCACCAGCAAGAAACCCAAGCUAAUCAGGUGAGAAGACCCCUCACAAAGCAGUCUCCGCCAUCCAGGGUCAGUCUCCACUGACGGGCAGGAUACUUCACCAAGAGGUUGGGUAAAUUUCUCAGAUCUGGACCCUUCUACCUAUAGCAAAUGGUUGAAAGGUUUCUUAUUCACCUUAAAGCUCAAACUCCAGCUCCACUGAUGAGUCUGGGCACCACAAGUUUACAGUGGGGGAUGGGACUGGAAGGCUUCUCUCAUUUCCCAAUAUAUCAAACUUGACCGCACCCAGAUGAACUGAGGCUCUUCCCUGCCUUCUGCAACAGGCCCCUUGGCAGAUGGGUCUCCGAGCAGAUAAUUAUUUAUAAAAUUUACUUCAGUCAGAUCAGUUA